CCAAGACAACUUUACGGAGUUGACGAUUGACGGAGCGAAGCGACGUCAAAGCGUUCAUUAAAGUCGAGUUGGCUUAGGGAUACGUUCGUUGGGUAGGGGAGCGUUCUGUAAGCCUGUGAAGGUGUGUCGUGAGGCAUGCUGGAGGUAUCAGAAGUGCGAAUGCUGACAUAAGUAACGAUAAAGCGGGUGAAAAGCCCGCUCGCCGGAAGACCAAGGGUUCCUGUCCAACGUUAAUCGGGGCAGGGUGAGUCGACCCCUAAGGCGAGGCCGAAAGGCGUAGUCGAUGGGAAACGGGUUAAUAUUCCCGUACUUGGUGUUACUGCGAAGGGGGGACGGAGAAGGCUAUGUUGGCCGGGCGACGGUUGUCCCGGUUUAAGCGUGUAGGUGUGUGUUCCAGGUAAAUCCGGUUCACUUUAACACUGAGGCGUGACGACGAGGCACUACGGUGCUGAAGCAACAAAUGCCCUGCUUCCAGGAAAAGCCUCUAAGCAUCAGGUAACACGAAAUCGUACCCCAAACCGACACAGGUGGUCAGGUAGAGAAUACCAAGGCGCUUGAGAGAACUCGGGUGAAGGAACUAGGCAAAAUGGUGCCGUAACUUCGGGAGAAGGCACGCUGACACGUAGGUGAAGUGAUUUACUCAUGGAGCUGAAGUCAGUCGAAGAUACCAGCUGGCUGCAACUGUUUAUUAAAAACACAGCACUGUGCAAACACGAAAGUGGACGUAUACGGUGUGACGCCUGCCCGGUGCCGGAAGGUUAAUUGAUGGGGUCAGCGUAAGCGAAGCUCCUGAUCGAAGCCCCGGUAAACGGCGGCCGU
rnacentral:rRNA from 1 species